rnacentral:rRNA from 1 species
CCACAAUGGGGGAAACCCUGAUGGAGCGACGCCGCGUGCGGGGAUGAAGGCCCUAUGGGUUGUAAACCGCUGUUCAGUGGAAAGAACAUCCUCCGGCUGAAUAGGUCGGAGGCCUGACGUUACCACUGCAGAAAGUCCCGGCCAACUCCGUGCCAGCAGCCGCGGUAAUACGGGGGACGAGCGUUGUCCGGAAUCAUUGGGCGUAAAGGGCGCGUAGGCGGCGAGGAAAGUCGAAUGGUGAAAUCUUGCGGCUCAGCUGCAAAACUGCGUUCGAAACUUCCUCGCUUGAGUAUGAGAGAGGUGUGCGGAAUUCCUGGUGUAGCGGUGGAAUGCGUAGAGUAUCAGGAGGAACACCGGUGGCGAAAGGCGGCAC